rnacentral:ncRNA from 1 species
UGACCUCAGAUCAGACGUGGCGACCCGCUGAAUUUAAGCAUAUUAGUCAGUGUAGGAAAAGAAACUAACCAGAAUUCCCUCAGUAACAGCGAGUGAACAGGGAAAAGCUCAAUACUGAAUCCCCGCCCCGCGGUGGAGCGUGGGACAUGUGGCAUAUGGAAGACCCACUCCCCGGCGUCGUUCGUGGGGGGCCCAAGUCCUUCUGAUCGAGGCCCAGCCCAUGGACAGUGUGAGGCCAGUAGUGGCCCCCGGCGCACCAGGCCCAGGUCUUCCCAGAGUUGGGUUGCUUGGGAAUGCAGCCCAAAGCAGGUGGUAAACUCCAUCUAAGGCUAAAUACCAGCACGAGACCAAUAGUCAACAAGUACCGUAAGGGAAAGUUGAAAAGAACUUUGAAGAGAGAGUUCAGAGGGCAUGAAACCAUUAAGAGGUAAACGGGUGGUGUCCACGCAGUUUGCCCAGAGGAUUCAACCCAACAGCACAUCCGGCUGUGUUGGUGGUCUCCCGGUGGAUCUUUCCCACCCCCCAUUCCUCCUGGCCCAUCUACCCGUCCUCCCUCCCCCACCACGACCCCCUUCCUCAGGGAGGGGCACUACGACGGGUGUGGGGGUGGGGAAGGUGGGGGAUCGCCCCCCGGCUGGCGACUGGCCGCUGCCAGGCGCACCUCCACCAUCAGCGGUGCACCACAACCAGCUCCGGGACAGCUGGGAAGGCCCUCGUGGGGCAGCGGAGCCAACCCUUCCCGAGUGUUACAGCCCCGUGGCUGCAGCAUGCUCACCAAGUCCCAGGGCCGAGGGAGCCCAGGACCCAUCACCGUGCUCUCCCACCUGGCACCCACCCCCAUGCAGAGGCCCCCCCCCACGAGGGGAGGCAUCCCCCAUGGGGGCACGCCAGUGUCUCUUGGGGGGGCCAGGCUGCCCCUCCUAUGGCACUACCGCUCCUCCACUGCCCCCACCUGUCCCCGCCAUGCCUCUUCCCGAGGUGGGGUGGGUCGGGUGCGGGGUCGGCAGGGCGGACUGUCCCCAGUGUGACCUAGGUGGGCUCGGGGGAUGUUUCCAGGUGCCACGUCACUAAGCAAAGUGCGUGCACGGGGUUGGCGGCAAUGUCAGCUACCCACCUGACCAGUCUUGAAACACGGACCAAGGAGUCUAACACCUGCGCGAGUUGGGGGCUCGCACGAAAGCCGCUGUGGUGCAAUGAAGGUGAAGGGCUGGAGGCCGCGGUGGCGCCCGUCGCCGCUGCUCACCGCCGGCCAGAGGUGGGAUUCCGAGGCCUCUCCAGUCCGCCAAGGGCACACCUCUGGCCCGUCUCACCCACCACGCUGGGGAGGUGGAGCACGAGCGCACAUGUUAGAACCUGAAAGAUGGAGAACUAUGCCUGGACAGGGUGAAGCCAGAGGAAACUCUGGUGGAGGUCCAUAGUGGUCGUGACGUGCAAAUCGGUAGUCCAACCUGGGUAUAGGGGCAAAAAACUAAUCGAACCAUCUAGUAGCUGGUUCCCUCCGAAGUUUCCCUCAGGAUAGCUGGCGCUCUCUCAAGACCUGAACCACGCAGUUUUAUCUGGUAAAGCGAAUGAUUAGAGGUCUUGGGGCUGAAACGAUCUCAACCUAUUCUCAAACUUUAAAUGGGUAAGAAGCCUGGCUCACUGGCAUGGAGCUGGGUGUGGAAUGCGAGUGCCUAGUGGGCCACUUUUGGUAAGCAGAACUGGCGCUGCAGGAUGAACCGAAUGCCGGGUUAAGGUGCCCGAUGCCGAUGCUCAUCAGACCCCAGAAAAGGUGUUGGUUGAUAUAGACAGCAGGACGGUAGCCAUGGAAGUUGGAAUCCACUAAGGAGUGUAACAAUUCACCUGCCGAAUCAACUAGCCCUGAAAAUGGAUGGCACUGGAGCAUCGGGCCCAUACCCUGCCAUUGCUGGCAGUCGAGCACACAUUGAGAGGGGGACAGGAGCCUUCCCAAACCCACCACGGAUGCUACACCAUGACGAGUAGGAGAGCCACUAUGGUGAGUCUUGAAGCCUAUGGUGCGGGCCCGGGUGGCGCUGCCACAGGUGCAGAUCUUGGUGGUAGUAGCAAAUAUUCAAAUGAGAACUUUGAAGGCCAAAGUGGAGAAAGGUUCCAUGUGAACAGCAGUUGAACAUGGGUCAGUCGGUCCUGAGAGAUGGGUGAGUGCCAUUCUGAAGGGAUGGGCGAUGGCCUCUGUUGCCCUCGGCCGAUCAAAAGGGAGUUGGGUUCAGAUCUCCAAAUCCGAAGUGGCGGAGAUGGGUGCCACGAGGCAUCCAGUGCAGUAAUGCAACUGUCCCAGAGAAGCUGGCGGGAUCCCCAGGGAGAGUUCUCUUUUCUUUGUGAAGGACAUGGCUCCCUGGAAUGGGUUCGCCCCAAGAGAGGGGCCCAUGCCUUGGAAAGUGUCGCGGUUCCAGCGGUGUCCGGUGAGCUCUCGCUGGCCCUUGAAAUUUGGGGCAGAGGGUGUAAAUCUCACGCCAGGCUGUACCCGUAUCUGCAGCAGGUCCCCAAGGUGAACAGCCUCUGGCAUGUUGGAACAAUGUAGGUAAGGGAAGUUGACAAGCUGGAUCCGUAAUUUUGGGAUAAGGAUUGGCUCUAAGGGCUGGGUUGGUCGGGCUGGGGCACGAAGCGGGGCUGGGUAUGUGCUGUGACUGGAUGAGGCGC